GCCCACAUAGCUCAGCUGGUAGAGCGUUUCCUUGGUAAGGAAGAGGUCACGGAUUCGAGUUCCGUUGUGGGCUCCA
rnacentral:tRNA from 1 species